rnacentral:lncRNA from 1 species
UGGAAAUUCACGACCUUUCUUUGAUCUUCAGUCUUAUUCUUAACCUGUGAAUAGGGCAGUGAAAAACAUAGGAACGUAGGAAUUAAGUGUGAAUGGGUUUCCCUGAUGGCUCACACGUUUUACAUUUUCUAUCUGCAAGGAGGAUGAGGAGUUUUGCAGAGAGGAGCUAUGAAACAGUGUGAAGCAGAAGAUGAUGACAACUGAUGUGUCCGUGCUACUCGCUGGCUUGCUGAAUUUAACUACAGGGCUUGAGGACCCAAGUACCCAAAACCAGAGACGGAAACAAGAAGGAUGACGGAGCCUGGUGGAAAGCCGCACUUCUGG